rnacentral:rRNA from 1 species
GGGAGGAAAAAUCGUAACAAGGUUUCCGUAGGUGAACCUGCGGAAGGAUCAUUGUCGAAACCCGCAAAGUAGACCGGUGAACAUGUUUUUAAUACUAUUGCGGUCGUGAUGUUGGAUGCUUCUGUGUUUGACAUCACGACCUUGACCCCAAGAGGCGCAAGUCGCUUGGGCGUUCUAACCUCUCGGCGUGGAAAGCGCCAAGGAAAACCAUAUUGAUGAACGCCUCUCCGACCUGUGGUGCCUUGUGCUGUACGCAGGACGUGAUGAGGAGUGUCUAUUGAAUAGAUAUAUAAAACGACUCUCGGCAACGGAUAUCUCGGCUCUCGCAUCGAUGAAGAACGUAGCGAAAUGCGAUACUUGGUGUGAAUUGCAGAAUCCCGUGAACCAUCGAGUCUUUGAACGCAAGUUGCGCCUGAAGCCAUCAGGCUGAGGGCACGUCUGCCUGGGCGUCACGCAUCUCGUCACCCUCCAAAUUCAUCUCUCCCACCGAAAGCGCGGUGAGAUGAUGCAUUCAUUUCGAUGGAGGGGCGGAUAUUGGCCUCCCGUUAUCCUUGUGUAGCGGUCGGCCCAAAUACGAUUCCGUGUCGAUGUUAUGUCACACGAUACGUGGUGGUUGGAUUGCUCAACUUUCGAAGUGUUGUGUGGACUGAGUCGAUACACGGGCAGGACCCAAUGGCGCUAGAUUGCCCUCGGUUGCGACCCCAGGUCAGGCGAACUCCCGCGC